UUCCUUCCAUUCCUCAAUGUAUUUACUAUGCAGAGGCCUCCCCCCACCUCCAACCCUUAUCAAAUUAGGUGAAAUUGAAAAAUAGAAAAUCAUAAGGGAGAAAAAUCUGAAAAUACAGCACAAUUAUGCCAGCUCAAUCUUGGAAAUGUUUCCCCCUCCUUAUGUGAGCAGAUGAGUGUUUUCAGUCCUGCUGCAGUAUGUCAGAGAUAAGUCACAUGGAAAUGUAGCGCCCGCCCCUCCAAGCUCCAUCCUCCAAAUCCUGAGAGACAUUUCACACAAGGUCAAUAACACUUCAGCUCCAUUUCAGACAGCAGAUAACAAAAUAGAAAACAUUAUAUAGUGUCGGAGAGUGCCACUGCAGACUUGAAUGUGAAUGUGCAUAAUUUAAAUUCUUCCUGCUGCUCUUUUAACUCUUGUUUCUGACAGUGUCUGCUCAACCCUCUGCGCUGCUGUUAACUCCUGCUCCUCACAGUGCCUGUUCAGAAGAUCAAGUGCACACCAGGAAAAGGGAGCUGUAAGCAGGCAGUGGGCUGACUGAACGCAGUGGAGACAGAAGAAUGGCAAAGCAAAGGAAGCUCACUUGGUGAAAAGAGAAGAGAGAUCACAAAGAUUUGGGGCUUUUAGCAACAAGCAUCUAUCUAUGAGGAAAAUGGAGGAUGGCUGAAGAGUACCAACUGCUGCUUAUAACUUAAGGUUCUUACUAUGUAGCCUUGGCUGUCCUGGAACUCAAUAGAUGAACCAAGAACUCACUUGCUUCGACCUUCCCAGUGCUGAAUUAAAGGAGAACAUCAUGAAGGAAGAACCCUUCAUACCUCGAUAAAAAACAAAAAUGGGAUUCAACUAAGGACAGGGAGCUACUGAGGGGUCUGAGUGGUAUAUCCUAUGUCAAUCGGAAGUCUUUGGAAUUAAACAUCUUCAUCUCUAAACCAAUGAAAGGGCCAGUGAGACGGCACAAUGGGUAAGGAACUUGGUACCAAGCCUGACAUCCUAAGUUGAAUCCUCAGGACCCACCUGGUUGGAGGAGAGAACUGACUCCAGAAAAUUGUGCUCUGAUCUUUCCAUAUGCACCACAGUGCAUUCACAUACAUGUGUGCACACAUAAAUACAUAAAUAAAAUAAAUAAAUGGUAAAAAAACAAACAAACAAUAAAGGUGGAAUCUUCUGUCAGAAAGCAAUUUAGUAAACAUCACAUAUACUGUUUGAAUUCUUUCCUGUUUCAUAGUUAUACACAUUCAUUCUAAUAUAUUAUAAAGACUCAAAGACAAAAAUCUCAAGAGUGAAAACUUUUGUACAGAAAAAAUUUUCAUUCAUAAUAAUGAAAGGCUAGGUAUAUAAUAAAAUAUUCUAAAGACUUGGUGAUCUAACGCCAACUUAAAAAACUGAACUCUAACCAAUAUCGUUUUGGUAUAGGUAGAUGAGUCCUAUUGUGACAUGGUAAGGUGAAAAUGAAAGUGAAUGCAAGUUUGCCUAUGUUACAGGUCUCAUUUAAAACAAAAUAUUUGGACAAAUGUCACUUCAUAUACAAAUGUAUCACACACUGAUAAAAUGUGACUACAACCUAAAUGAAGGUUUUAGAACUCUUUAGCUUUUAUAAGAUAGUCAAAAAAAUGUUAAACAUGCUCCUCAUAGGUUAUUAGUUAUCAUUCACUAUAUAGAACAGCCAUAAUAUCAUAAUUACGAAAGCUUGGUAAAAGUUCAACUGUCCAAAUGUAACAAAUAUUAGAAAUGGCAACAAAAGUAGAGUAUUUUAUCUAUGGUGCUCUAAUUCCUAUGCAAAUAACUAUAAAGGCAUUUUAUACAUUAAACAACUGUGCAAGUCAAGAAAGCAAGUGUAGAACAAUGAAGACUGUGUCUGUCCAACAUCAGCUUGAGAGGCACAGAGACAACUAUUUUCCUAUAUAGUCAUUUAAAUGUUAAUACACACAAAAACAAGCAAGACUGUUUAAGGAAGCAUUUACAGGCCCUGUGAAAAUCAAAUCUAAACAUCAUUAUAGACACAGUAACCCAAUGUUUACUUCCAUUUUGAACCAAAGUAAUAAAAAGGUAUAGAUAUGUGUGUGAGCGUGUAUAAAAUCAAGAGGCCAACAGUG